CCUACGGGUGGCUGCAGUGGGGAAUAUUGGGCAAUGGGCGCAAGCCUGACCCAGCAACGCCGCGUGAAGGAAGAAGGCUUUCGGGUUGUAAACUUCUUUUCUCAGGGACGAAGCAAGUGACGGUACCUGAGGAAUAAGCCACGGCUAACUACGUGCCAGCAGCCGCGGUAAUACGGAGGUGGCCAGCGUUAUCCGGAUUUACUGGGUGGAAAGGGCGUGUAGGCGGGAAAGCAAGUCAGAUGUGAAAACCAUGGGCUCAACCUGUGGCCUGCAUUUGAAACUGUUUUUCUUGAGUAUGGGAGAGGCAGACGGAAUGCCUGGUGGAGAGGUGAAAUGCGUAGAUAUCAGGAGGAACACUAGUGGCGAAGGCGGUAUGCUGGACAGCAACUGACGCUGAUGCGCGAAAGCGUGGGGAGCAAACAGGAUUAGAUACCCGGGUAGUC
rnacentral:rRNA from 1 species